GAGUCAAAUUGGUUUAUCUCAUUUUGCUUUUCCUUUUUUUUUUUGUUGGGUUGGUGUUGGCCCAAAUUGCUCGGCUGUCUAGGUGAAUCAAAGAGGAAAAUGUUUUCUUAUCUCUCUCCAGGCUGCCUUUCGUUCAAAAAAUGAGGAGAAGGGGAUCUCGCCUCUUUCUCCUUCAUCGCUCUUCCCGUUCGAGCAGAAUACGGCGGCCGUCGCCGUUUUUACUGCCGGCGAAGUUCAGAUCGCCAGACGGAGGUCGAGACCUAACGGCGAUUUCGCCGGAGGUCAAAACUAAAAGGAGUGAUUAUCUCCCUCUCUUUGAGUAUCAUCCCGACUCGAUUUGGCUUGGUUUUUCAUGGGGUGUCGCCAGAGUUUGUAGAGCCGGUAAAUGGGACUGGGGGCGAUGAGUCCGAUGAGCCUUGACGGCGGUGUCUGCCGCUGCUUGAUUCGAGAAGAGGGGGCCGUUCGACGGCCCGCGCCCGUGGGGGAGAAGAGUUCUGGGAUGGAGGCGGCGCCAAUGCUUCUCGCCGUUUGUCAAGGAAGGACUUAACGGUUGCAGCCUGAAGAUCAAGGGUUCAGGGGCAGCGGUGACGUGGGGUUUGCGUCGUUAUGGUGGUCGUGUAAGGAAUUUCCCUAUACUUGAAUGGGAAGUACUUGUUUUUCUGAUUUGCUGCACUUUCGGUUUCUUUUGCGCCGUUUGGCAGUCGAGUGGUUAAGGAGACAAACUUGAAAUCCGUUGGGCUUCAAGAAUUUGGUGGCUGGAGAAGCCAGGUGCGCGGCGACGGCGUGGUAGACAGAGACGAGUCGCGCGGUGGCGUGGCGUUGCCGGAGGCCGUAGCUGAUUUGUGUGGCGUUUCGCGUAAGCUUGUGCGGAGGGCGAGGGUGGCCUUGGGACGCAAUCGUUGUUUGUCCAGCGACUUCAGCAUCUCCACAACCGGCGACUGCUAUCUACCUGAGCAGUUGGCUCGAAGCGCGCGAUGGCGUUGCGAUGUCGCCGACUGCCAGAGUCUUCGAAGGAAUUGCUUACAUCUCACUCUGUCUCUUUUUAUCUCUCAUCUUGUUUAUCUGUGAGGGAGCGAGCAGCACAAAGUAAGCAAGGGGAGCCUUUUGAACUGGUUUUGUGCUCUCUUGAGGUGGAAUUUUGCUCGAAAAGGAAGGGCAGAGGAAAAAGAUAGAUUUGAGAGAAAGCUAUAGGCCUCUUUUUGUAUAAGGUGAUGGUCAAUGGAUUGCAUCCCACCUUUCACAAUUCUUCGUAUUUGUAAAUCGGUCGUGCGUUUUUGUGCUAACAGAUUAUUUCCCAUGAAUUCUCAUUUUUUCAAGUUGUAUGUGUAUGGCCCGAUUUUCCAUGUAAUGCUAACUUUAAGUUGCUAGUUUGUGGAAACAGAAUCUUUGUUCUUACGCCAUAUAUCAAUGUUUAAGUAAGAUGCUUGGCUUUUUUGCUCCA